CUAAAAAUCUCCAAGGAAAAUUGUAAUACUUUUAUCCGCCGCAGGUGUCGCUGGUGUAGUUGAAGAGAAAUGUCAAAUUUUGUUUACUUUUAUGGCCCACGGGAAUUUAGUUGAAGUUUGUAAUUUUGAUAUAAUUUGCUCUGAAUCAGAAAUUAAAAGCCGCAAUCUCGGUCUAUUUCAUUAUAAUAUUAAGAAAGAGUGUUGUGAUAAUAAAUACGUGGUGAAGAUGAGUGAGUUGCGAAGAUAUUUGUUUCGUAUCUCAGUGAACUCUCAGCGAGCUUUAAGGAACCGUUUGCGAAGCAAAAGAAAAUUGUUGCGGGAAUCCACGGAUCCCUUCUGUAUUUCAGAGGAACGGUUCACUGAAAUUUUUCGACUUCCAAAAGAAAUAUGUAGAAAUGUUUUUAAUGAAAUCCGCCCCUUUAUGUUGCAAAGGACAUCUAGUUGUGGAUUGUCGAAAGUUUUAAGGUUCCUUGUAGCAUUGCGAUUUUUCGCUCAAGGAAGCUAUCAACGUUCGGUGGGACAAGACUUCUUACUUAAUGUAUCCCAAAGCAGCGUCAGUAGAUGCAUUAGAGAAAUUGCCAGUAUCAUGGACAAAUACUUGUUAACUAGAUACAUUAAGUUUCCAUCAACAGUUGAAGAAAAACAGGCUGAAAAGAAAAAUUUUAUCAAGAGUUCAGAUUCCCUGGGGUCAUAGGAGCCAUUGACGGAUCGCAUAUUAAAUUAAAGACUCCAUCCAAAGACAUUGAACAUGUAUAUGUUUGCCGAAAAGGAGGACACUCAAUAAAUGUGCAAGUGGUAUGUGACAUGGAUUUAAGAAUACUUGACUGUAAUGCUCGUUUCGGCGGAACUGCUCACGAUGCAUCAGUUUGGAGAGCAAGUGCUUUGAAGGUGACAGUGGAUAUCCUCAAUUACCUUAUUUAAUGACUCCUAUUCCGGGAAACAAUCUCUCAGAUUCUGAACAUAAUUACAACAGACAUCACCGGAAAGCAAGAAACUGUGUAGAACGCUGCUUUGGAGUGCUGAAAUCUAGAUUUCGAUGC